GAUGAACGCUAGCUACAGGCUUAACACAUGCAAGUCGAGGGGAAACGGCAUUGAGUGCUUGCACUCUUUGGACGUCGACCGGCGCACGGGUGAGUAACGCGUAUCCAACCUUCCCAUUACUGUGGGAUAACCUGCCGAAAGGCAGACUAAUACCGCAUAGUCUUCGGUGACGGCAUCAGAUUUGAAGUAAAGAUUUAUCGGUAAUGGAUGGGGAUGCGUCUGAUUAGCUUGUUGGCGGGGUAACGGCCCACCAAGGCGACGAUCAGUAGGGGUUCUGAGAGGAAGGUCCCCCACAUUGGAACUGAGACACGGUCCAAACUCCUACGGGAGGCAGCAGUGAGGAAUAUUGGUCAAUGGACGGAAGUCUGAACCAGCCAAGUAGCGUGCAGGAUGACGGCCCUAUGGGUUGUAAACUGCUUUUGUAUGGGGAUAAAGUUAGGGACGUGUCCCUAUUUGCAGGUACCAUACGAAUAAGGACCGGCUAAUUCCGUGCCAGCAGCCGCGGUAAUACGGAAGGUCCAGGCGUUAUCCGGAUUUAUUGGGUUUAAAGGGAGCGUAGGCUGGAGAUUAAGUGUGUUGUGAAAUGUAGACGCUCAACGUCUGAAUUGCAGCGCAUACUGGUUUCCUUGAGUACGCACAACGUUGGCGGAAUUCGUCGUGUAGCGGUGAAAUGCUUAGAUAUGACGAAGAACUCCGAUUGCGAAGGCAGCUGACGGGAGCGCAACUGACGCUUAAGCUCGAAGGUGCGGGUAUCAAACAGG
rnacentral:rRNA from 1 species